GAGUCAUAGAAUAUGUAGCAAUAUUGCCUCUAAGCUCUACUAUGUGAAUUUAUUGCUACAACAGGUUCAACUUUAAUCUUAACUAACUCUCCGUAUUUCCAUCUCUUCUGUGUUUGAAUAGGAGAUUGACAAUAUCCGUAUCAGCUGUAUAUGAGUUUUCUCAAGUCUAGGCUAUGUUUCUCAAUGUAAGCCUAUUAUAUGUGUGGUCUCCUUGAUUUGAAAUUCUAUCAACAACUUUGCGGGAAGCUAUGGAAGUAUCCUAUCAUAUUUAAACUCGUUUUCUUAGAGGACUUCUCAAGUGUUUAAAGCUAAAUUACUUGCCCUUGUAUUGUAUUUAAGCACUUAAAGUUAUUUUUGCUGCAUGAACUUUUCCCAAAAGCUGAUUCCUCAUUAUCUCCAUUUCAAUUCAAUGCUAUCUAGGAGUCAAAGAAAACUAGAGCGAGGUAUGUAUGAGUGCAUAAUUACAUGAGAACUAACCAGUCAUAACCUUAUGGAUUCUUAGAGGAAACUCCAGAGUUGAUAUUCCAUGUGAAAGCUAAAAAAUUCUAAAUGGUAAGAUUUAUAUUUGUCAGAUGCCCUUUUCUUAAUGUUACCCUCCACAUAUCGUAGUGUCAUCUCUGCCGAUAAUCAGGUGGUGUUUUGUUGCUUGACAAUCAUGUAAUUUAUUUAAUUGGUACGCUUUCUUGGUACAUGGUAUAUCUCAAAGUGAAUAUCACCGUAUAAAUCUGUUGAUAAUAUUAUGGUUGUUUUCUGGAGUUGUCAAAAAUAGAUCAUUGAUGCUGGUUUCAGGCUUGUUUGCUCCUGUAUUAAUUGAUUUCCUAUGAUGUCAAUUGUUAUGGUGAUAAAUUUGCUGUGGUGCGAUAUCCGAAUAAUCUUUUAUCUUUCACAAGUAGAAACUAUUACGCCACUUUAUUUUUGUUUUUUUCUCAUCUGUAGUACACAAUAGUGUAGAUAUUUGUUUGCACCGAAACUUUGUUUUUCGUAGGAUUUAAUGAGUAUGAAACAAUAGAGGUUAUGGUGAUCCCUACCCUAAUAUGCUUUUUGGUUUCUUGUGAGCUUACUUCCACUUUAAAAAUCAGGUAGUAUAACUAUUGUAUUUUGUUUCUUAUUUCUUAUGCUGAAAGUGAUUGAAGCAUAUGAUUUAGUCUAUUGCUGAUUCACCAUGUUGUGUGAGGCAGUUCCUUCCCAUUGCACCAUAAUGAUCUUUAGUUCCCACGUAAGCAGCCAAUAACUAUUUUGUAUAUUUGGUAGGACGUAAAGGCUAUUCUAAUAUUUCAGCCAUGCUUAUUGAAAAUGUAAUUCAUUCAAGCCGUGAUUUUUAUUGUUAGCCUGCUACCUUCCAUUUUAGUUAUGGAUUAUCGUAGGUGCAAAGUAUGGCUUCCAUAGUGACUAUACUCUUUCCCUGUCUGUUAACCUAAGGUUGCAUUUACUGUUUACAGUGGAAACUAUUUAUUGUAAAUCUAGUAUAGUUGUUGAUCUUUGAAUAUUUUUGUCCAUUGACCACUUAAUUAUGUUUUAUUUCCUCUUUUAUCCAUUAAAUAGAUGUACCCCAAAUAUGAUUUCUUUGUGCUCGUUUAUUCUUGUUUGACAUUGAUGCAAAUAUUUUUGUCCAUUGCUCACUUAGUCAUGUUUUAUUUCCUCUUUUAUCCAUUAAAUAGAUAUACCCCAAAUACGAUAAUUUCUUCAUGCUCGUUGAUUCUUGUUUGACAUUGAUUCAAAUAUUGCUGGUUGUGACUGUCUGUGAAACAUCAUUCUUCAAAUCAUGCGGGUAAUUGUGAUUUAUUGGAUUUUUCUUUAGCAAGAUGUGGCUCUGGUUGUGUGGCUUGAGAUAAUUUUUUAUAUCAAAAUGGACAAGAGAGCAAUCAGCUUAGUUCCUGCUACUGGAUUUGCUCCAGUGAUGCUUUGCACUCCCAUCAUCACCAUGUCAGCAUUAUCAACAGGUCCUCUAAUUUCUCCGGGGCUAUCUCUAACCGAUGAACACAUGUUACAACUAAUGAUGAUAUUGAUUCGGUGCAGAGUUUCUUGUUUCAGGUUGGAGCAGGAGUUGCUGGAACCUUAAUGCAUGAAUAUAAGUGGGUUUUAUUUUUCUCUUCAGAUUUACCCAUUGAGUAUACCCAUAUGGGAUGCAAUAAUAAGAAGGAUUAGCUUUUACUUGGAUUUUGUAAAA